rnacentral:rRNA from 1 species
UACGUAGGGUGCGAGCGUUGUCCGGAAUUAUUGGGCGUAAAGAGUGUGUAGGCGGUGUUCCAAGUCUGUUGUGAAAUCUCCCGGCUUAACUGGGAGGGUGCGGCGGAAACUGGAAUGCUAGAGGGUGGGAGAGGUAAGCGGAAUUCCUGGUGUAGCGGUGGAAUGCGUAGAUAUCAGGAGGAACACCUGUGGUGUAGACAGCUUACUGGACCACUUCUGACGCUGAGACACGAAAGCGUGGGUAGCAAACAGG